rnacentral:misc_RNA from 1 species
GAUGAAGAACGCAGCGAAAUGCGAUACGUAAUGUGAAUUGCAGAAUUCAGUGAAUCAUCGAAUCUUUGAACGCAUAUUGCGCUCUCUGGUAUUCCGGAGAGCAUGCUUGUUUGAGUAUCAGUAAACACCUCAACUUCCAUAUCUUUUUUGAAAUGGGAGUUGGACUUGAGUGAUCCCAACGCUUUUCCUCACCGAAAAGUGGCGGGUUACUUGAAAUGCAGGUGCAGCUGGACUUUUCUCUGAGCUAUAAGCAUAUCUAUUUAGUCUGCCUAAAAAACAGAUUAUUACCUUUGCUGCAGCUAACAUAAAGGAGAUUAGUUCUUGUGCUGACUGAUGCAGGAUUCACAAAGACGGCUUCGGCCGACUUUGUAAACUCGAUCUCAAAUCAAGUAAGACUACCCGCUGAACUUAAGCACAUCAAUAAGCGGAGGA